CGCCCAACAGCUAGCCCCCCCCCUACUAAAAACAACAACCCAUUAUUAAUACCCCCAUAAACACAACUCAUUACCAAAAUAAACCAUUUUUCCCCCUUAGUAUGCGCGACAGAAAAGGGACCAAUCAUUGGAGCAACAGAAAAAGUACCGCAAGGGAACGCUGAAAGAGAAAUGAAACAAACCAGUAAAGCAUAAAAAAGCAGAGAUAUACCCUCGUACCUUUUGCAUCAUGAUUUAGCCAGUAAUCCUCAAGCGAAGUGCACUUUAGUUUGAUUCCCCGAAACUAAGUGAGCUACUCCAAGACAGCCUUUUAGGGCAAACCCGUCUCUGUGGCAAAAGAGUGGGAAGAGCUUCGAGUAGAGGUGACAGACCUACCGAACUUAGUUAUAGCUGGUUGCCUGGGAACUGAAUAGGAGUUCAGCCUUUUGCCCUUCUACCCUCCAAACGGACUUUGCCCAAGACCUGACCCCAAAGAAUAAGCAAAAGAGUUACUCAAAGGGGGUACAGCCCCUUUGAGACAAGACACAACUUUCCUAGGUGGGAAAAGAACCUAUAACCCCUCAGGUGCUCAAGUUUUAGUGGGCCUAAAAGCAGCCAUCCAUACAGAAAGCGUUAAAGCUUAAACAUCCCCCACCCCUAUUAUCCCGUUAACCAAAAUCUCAUCCCCCUAAACCUACCAGGCCAUCCCAUGCACCCAUGGGAGUGACCAUGCUAAUAUGAGUAAUAAGAGAGCAAGCCUCUCUCCCUGCACAUGUGUAAAUCGGAACGAACCCCCACCGAAUAUUAACGACCCCAAACAAAGAGGGCACUGGACAACCAACUCUAACUCACUAGAAAAGUAUCCAAACACUAAACCGUUAACCCUACACUGGUGUGCUUCUUGGGAAAGACUAAAAGAAAAAGAAGGAACUCGGCA
rnacentral:rRNA from 1 species